rnacentral:rRNA from 3 species
UUGGAAGUAAAAGUCGUAACAAGGUCUCCGUUGGUGAACCAGCGGAGGGAUCAUUACCGAGUUUACAACUCCCAAACCCCUGUGAACAUACCAAUUGUUGCCUCGGCGGAUCAGCCCGCUCCCGGUAAAACGGGACGGCCCGCCAGAGGACCCCUAAACUCUGUUUCUAUAUGUAACUUCUGAGUAAAACCAUAAAUAAAUCAAAACUUUCAACAACGGAUCUCUUGGUUCUGGCAUCGAUGAAGAACGCAGCAAAAUGCGAUAAGUAAUGUGAAUUGCAGAAUUCAGUGAAUCAUCGAAUCUUUGAACGCACAUUGCGCCCGCCAGUAUUCUGGCGGGCAUGCCUGUUCGAGCGUCAUUUCAACCCUCAAGCCCUCGGGUUUGGUGUUGGGGAUCGGCGAGCCCUUGCGGCAAGCCGGCCCCGAAAUCUAGUGGCGGUCUCGCUGCAGCUUCCAUUGCGUAGUAGUAAAACCCUCGCAACUGGUACGCGGCGCGGCCAAGCCGUUAAACCCCCAACUUCUGAAUGUUGACCUCGGAUCAGGUAGGAAUACCCGCUGAACUUAAGCAUAUCAAUAAGCGGAGGAA